AUGCUUUCUUUGGCAGUAUAUAUACUAAAAUUGAAACAAUAUACCGAAGAUUAGCAUGGCUCCUGUUGUAAUGACACACAAAUUCACGAACAUUUCUUAUAUUCU